GUCUUUUUGAUAAUAAUUUAAAGUCUGACCUGCCCAAUGAAUAUUUAAUGGCCGCAGUAUUUUGACUGUGCAAAGGUAGCAUAAUCAUUAGUUUCUUAAUUAGGAACUGGAAUGAAGGGUUGGACGAGAAAAUAACUGUCUCUUUAUAAAUUUUUUAGAACUUUAUUUUUAAGUUAAAAAGCUUAAAUAAAUUUAAAAGACGAGAAGACCCUAUAGAGUUUUAUAUAGGUUUAGUUAAAGCUAUAAAUUGAAUAGUAAUUAGUUUAAUUAAAAUUAUAUUUUAUUGGGGUGAUAGAAAAAUUUAAAUAACUUUAAUUUUAUAAUAACAUUAGUUUAUGAAUAGAUGAUCCGUUAAUAAAUAACGAAUAUAAGAUUAAAUUACCUUAGGGAUAACAGCGUUAUUUCUUUUUAGAGUUCAUAUCGAUAAAGAAGUUUGCGACCUCGAUGUUGGAUUAAAAUUAAGUUUUGGUGUAGAAGCUAAGAUAUUAGGUCUGUUCGACCUUUAAAAUUUUACA
rnacentral:rRNA from 1 species